rnacentral:rRNA from 1 species
GAAACUAACCAGGAUCCCAUCCAGUAACGCGCGAGUGAACAGGGAUUAGCCCAGCACCGAAGCCUGCGUCUGUUUGGGCGUUAGGCAAUGUGGUGUUUAGGUUGAUGCUUUGGAGAGUUGCUUCGUUCCAAGUCCAAUCAUGAAUAUGGCUUUAGCAUGGCCCAGAGAGGGUGAAAGGCCAGUGUGGACGGAGUGGCACUCUACUGCGUUAACUUUGGAGUCGGGUUGUUUGAGAAUGCAUCCCAAAGUUGGUGGUAAACUCCAUCUAAGGCUAAAUACUGGCUCGAGUCCGAUAGCGAACAAGUACCGUGAGGGAAAGUUGAAAAGUACUCUGAAGAGAGAGUUAACAGUGCGUGAAACCGCUUAGAGGCAAACGGGUGUAGUCAAGCUGCAAGCCUGUUGAAAUAGGGGGGCCGGAAUGGCGUGAGUCUGAGCACAUAGAGCUGGCGUAUAGGUGCGGCCCUAGGGUCGUCUUCGGUUAGCAAUAGCCGGAGCUGUGACGUGGCAUCCGCCGCUGCAGGCCUGUGCGUCGGUUGCUCUGCUGGCCCUCUCACUUUCUUCAGGCGUAUGUCACGACCGCCAUUGUUGUCGGUCUGCUAGGUCUAAACUGUAGGACGGGUAGUCUUGUGCUGCUUGUCCUGCGGGGGCAGGUAGCCGAGUCAGCGCCUUGUGUGUUGGCACGGUGUUAUUUGGCUGGGCCUAGUGGUAACUGUAACUGUGCAAUGUGGCGGGGCUGGCGGUGCAUAGUCAAUCUCUGGCGUGCUAAAACGGGCUGGUACGACGUGUGUUUGGCUGGUUGUUGUCGGUUUCGCCCCGUCCUGCCACCCACACAGUUGCGGUUUAGCUCGUGGCUGC